rnacentral:lncRNA from 10 species
GAACAGUUAAAAAAAAAUACAAUUAAAUUAGGUAUUAUAAGUAAUCUAGAGAUAAUUAUAUAGUGUAUAUACAUAUACAUAUAUAAGUAUAUGGUAGGAGGUGCAUAGGUUAUACGUAAAUACUACACCAUUUUAUAUAAGGGACUUGAGUAUCCAUGGAUUUUGGUAUUCUCAAGGGGUCCUGGAACCAAUCCCCCAUACAUAUCAAGGGAGAACUAAACAUUCUUUUUAUACUAGUUGAUCCUUCAGGUUAGUAUCAAGGGACAAUCUAUGGGAAAGCAUGCCACUUUGUCAAUGCCAGCCUCAAAGAGGUAUGGGAUGUGUCUCUAAACAUCCCUAGCUUCCUUUAACCAUCUUUAGUUACUAAUGAGUGUUUUUAAACUCUGGAAUGUAUAUUUUCCACUUCCACUAGGCCUAAGGGUCUUCAGUCCUCUAAAUUACUACCUGUUAAAGUUUCUCUUCUAGUUUUUCUAGGCUUUCCCUCUAGUUCUCAUGUUGUGAUAUUUGGUCAAAAGUGGAAGAAAUAUAGAAAACAGCACAUACUUUGGUGAAAUUAGACUUGGUUUAAAAUGUCAGCUCUAGGCCAGGCGUGGUGGUCCACGUCUGUAAUCUCAGCACUUUGGGAGGCCGAGGUGGGUGGAUCAUUUGAGGUCAGGAGUUCGAGACCAGCUUGGCCAAAAUAGUGAAACCCCACCUCUACUAAAAAUACAAAAAUUAGCCGGGCGUGGUGGCAGGCACCUGUAAUCCCAGCUACUCGGGACGCUGAGGCAGGAGAAUCGCUUGAACCCGAGAGAUGGAGGUUGUAGUGAGCCAAGAUUGCGCCACUGCACUCCAGCCUGGGCAACAG